rnacentral:rRNA from 1 species
CUCUUGNNUNNNCNGAAUUCGGCAGAGAUGCCUUAGUGCCUUCGGGAACUGUGAGACAGGUGCUGCAUGGCUGUCGUCAGCUCGUGUUGUGAAAUGUUGGGUUAAGUCCCGCAACGAGCGCAACCCUUAUCCUUUGUUGCCAGCACGUAAUGGUGGGAACUCAAAGGAGACUGCCGGUGAUAAACCGGAGGAAGGUGGGGAUGACGUCAAGUCAUCAUGGCCCUUACGAGUAGGGCUACACACGUGCUACAAUGGCGUAUACAAAGAGAAGCGAACUCGCGAGAGCCAGCGGACCUCAUAAAGUACGUCGUAGUCCGGAUCGGAGUCUGCAACUCGACUCCGUGAAGUCGGAAUCGCUAGUAAUCGUAGAUCAGAAUGCUACGGUGAAUACGUUNCCGGG